GAUGAACGCUGGCGGCGUGCUUAACACAUGCAAGUCGAACGGAAAGGCUCCUGCUUGCAGGGGUACUCGAGUGGCGAACGGGUGAGUAACACGUGGGUGAUCUGCCCUGCACUUCGGGAUAAGCCUGGGAAACUGGGUCUAAUACCGGAUAGGACGAUGGUUUGGAUGCCAUUGUGGAAAGUUUUUCGGUGUGGGAUGAGCUCGCGGCCUAUCAGCUUGUUGGUGGGGUAAUGGCCUACCAAGGCGUCGACGGGUAGCCGGCCUGAGAGGGUGUACGGCCACAUUGGGACUGAGAUGCGGCCCAGACUCCUACGGGAGGCAGCAGUGGGGAAUAUUGCACAAUGGGCGCAAGCCUGAUGCAGCGACGCCGCGUGGGGGAUAACGGCCUUCGGGUUGUAAACUCCUUUCGCUAGGGACGAAGCGCAAGUGACGGUACCUGGAGAAGAAGCACCGGCUAACUACGUG
rnacentral:rRNA from 1 species